GAAGAGGUCUAAUCCUCCUACACAUGCAUGCUCCUGUUAAAGGUACUUUGGUGGGAAGAUCAAAUGUGACAAAUGCAAAUGGAUCUGCAAAACACUAUCCACCAAGCCCCUAAUUUCCGAUUCCGCCUAAACCUGACUGCUCUUUCAUUUCUGCCACGAAUCAUAUGUAAGCCAUGGUAGUUCAUAUAGUUUAACCACUCGAUAACUCGACAGAGACAUAUUUACUUUGCACAUCCUUCUACCUUUAAACUGAGAUGUGCACUAGUGAGGUCAAGAUCAAUAAUCUUAACCAUCCACCAGAA
rnacentral:lncRNA from 1 species